rnacentral:lncRNA from 1 species
GGACACAGACGUCAGCAGCUGCGAAGAGGCCUGGCCUGGCCGUGCUGCACCCUCAUCUCUGCCUUUCAGCCUCCAGAAUGGUGAGAAAAACACUUCCUUUGCUUAUCAGUCACCCAGUCUAGGGUUUUUGUUACAGCAGCCCAGAUGGACUAAGACCACCUGCUCAAUCGUUUGUUUCUCAGAUGAAUAAGAACUCUCUGCCAGGGAAGAGACCUUCCCCAAAACCCCUCACGGGGGACGCUGGUUUUAGUGAUGUCUGCUUUCUAAGUGAGAGCCAUGAUUCAGGAUUGGAGAUGGUGUUUCUUCUCAGUUCUUCGUCCCACAUUUACUUGCUUGGAAUCUGCUCUGUGCCUGGCACUGCACCGGGCACCCUUUAGAUAAGGAUGAGCCCUGAAAAGUGGGAGCAGACGGCUUAAUGGAGCCUCGUUGUGACUCACCCCAGUGGGAAGGUUGAGGCACCUGCCUCGGGGGAAUCCACAGCCAAGAUAAAGCAUCACCCACCAGGCGUGGGGAUGGUCGAGCGUCACCAGAAUGAUGCAGGGUGGAAGGCACACGCCACAGCUCCCUCACUCUAGAAGGAUGUUUUUGAGAAGUCUACCUGCUCCCCAGAGGCAUGGGGCAGCCUAGUUCUCUCUUCCCCUCUUUUCUUUCUUCGCUCUCAAUUCCCCAUCUGUGAGUCACUCGGUAUCAGUCCACUAAACUCUUCUCAGCCCAUGUCAGCAGGAACCAGCUGGCUUUGUGGGGGAAAAUACCAACCUAGCUGUCUGCACAAGGAUGGUAAGAAUUAGAACCUUGGGUCCCAUACCUCCAGCUCACAUCUGGAGAAACUGAAGGGGAGACUUUGAAAUUUGGGGUCAAGGAAGCCUUGUAGCUUUUUGAUUAACAGCACGAGUUCUUGAGUCACCUGGCCUGGAAGAAAAAGCCCGCCUCGGCCGUUUAGUUACUGAUUGAUUUCGACCCAUCACUUCACUCACCAAGCUUCAGCUCCUCCUCUCUGACUAUAGGACAAGAUCAGUACCACGCUCCUAAGGCCAGCGAUGCUGCAAAAUGCAUAAUAACCUUUGGUUGUUAUUUUAGUGAUGAUUCUUCUAGAUUUCUCCUCAGAAGUCAUGCAAAACAGGAAUGUGAAUUGCAAAAAAGAUGCUGAGCAGGAAGGCACCAAAGAAAGCCUUUCUCCAAAGGGGAUGUUUAUUUCAGAGGCACACAGGGGGAAGCUCCACCAGCUGUUUUCCAGGAAAUCAUCCACUUCACCCAGGGUGGGGAUAUGGACAAGACAGAGUCCCGGCCUCCCUGGGAAACUGGUGUGAGGAAGUCCAGUCAGCAACACAACUGAGAGAGACCCCGCCGUGCCCAGUAGUGCCAGGCAUAGUGAAGUUAAGGUGAUGGGGAGGGGUGACCAUUGGAGGUGAAGGGACCUGAGAGUGGAGACCAGGACAGGGGAUGGGAAAGCCAAGUCCCUGAGGAAGGGAUGAGCUUAAUAAGUUUGAGGAACAGAAAGGAGGUGACUCCAGAAGGCUUGCCCACAGCUGGGUCUUACAAGGGAUGGAAGCCCUUAGACCUCGAGGAGGGAUCGUGUGGCCUCCUGAUUUCCGUUUUUAUAGGCAGCUUUGGAGGAUGGAUUAGCAGGAGAGGGAGGCGAGCGCUGGAGUAGGAAACCCAACUGGCAGCCGGUCCACCGCUGUCCAGCAAAUCCGGUGUUGACUCGGAAGGUCAGUGGAGACGGAGGGAGUUGAGAGAUGUGGGAUCUGCUUUGGAGGCAGAGACAACAGAAUGGGAGAAAGGAAUCCAGGAUGACGCCGACGUCUUGGGGAGGCGCUGCUGAGGAGUGUGAGUGAGGUCCCGCCUGACCCCAGCUAGUGGGCUGCUGCCUUCUUCUGGCUUCCGUGAGUCAAAGGGACAUGAAAACCACAACAUGAGGUUUAACUGCGAAGCCCCGCUCCCCGCCCAUCCCCUUCGCCUCUUGAGUUUCAUUUUACUGGUCCCGUCCCAACAGAUGGCUCUUCUUAAAGCAGCAUCGCCAGUGUGUAAUUCUUCUUAAUGACAGGAGAGCCAAUUUUAUUCUCUCCUGGAAAUUAAUUUCUCUUCCAUUUCUCUCUUCCCCUCCACCCCUCUCUCUGUUCCUGUGAUGAUUUCUUUCGGAAAUAAUUCCCCUUGCACGCGACCUCCACAAACCUCUGAAUCCCCGCAGAUGGAGCAAGGCUGCUCUUGCGAGGGAACGGAGGGCAGGAGGCAUGUCCUGUGCUCUGCGGUUUUGUUCCUGGAGGAGGAGGACAUGGGGACAGCUCUAGGACUAAGGGUUCAUCUUUUCAUCUAUGUUUACUUCUCAGGAGACCCCAGCCCCAUGGUCUUAAAUUUUUCAUUGAAGUAUAGUUGGUUUACAAUGUUCCUUCAGUUUCUACUGUACAGCAAAGUGACCCAGCCACACACACACACACACAUUGUUUUUUUUUUUUUUUUCUUCAUACUAGCUACUAUGUUUUUUGCCUCCUUGGCUCUGCACAUGUGUUCUCUACAUAAUAUUAAAUAGUAACCUUUGUGUCUCCCACAUUCUGGGGUGCUCCAGACACACACACCACAUUUUUCAACCACGCACACAUGCACGCACAAGAGUGGAACCCGUACUGGCUGACCCAGGGCAAAAUCAAACAACUUUUAACUGCUAAGUUGACUUUACCUUUUUUAACACCUUAAUUGAGACAUAAUUUACGUGCCAUAAAAUUCACCCAUUUUAAGUGUGUGAUUCAAUGGCUUUUUAAGUUUACUGAGUUGUAUCCUGGCUGUUUUCUUUCUUGCAAACGGAGCCACUGGAUGAACACUCUCACCCCCUGAGCUCCCUCCCCACUUGGAAAUGUGACAGUUAAAGAGCAGGUUCUGUUUCACACCCCCCCCCAAGUAGUUUUUAUUCAUUCUGCCAUUUACAACUUACUUCCUGUGUUUUGAUUCUGAGCUGCUCAGGCCUACUUCUUAGAAGCCAAGUGGAUUAGUUUUUACACUGUCAAGAAGUUUCUCUUGUGUCAGAGGAGUUUUCUGGGUUUUUUGUUUGUUUUGUUAAUCUUCAGAUCUUUGCUU